UGCCUCCAGUACUUUUUACUCUUACUCAAGUCGUUUUAUUGUUGAUUACUUCUACUUUUACUCGAGUAUAAAUUCAAAGUAAUUUAGGCAUGCACCACUGCUUAGCGUAAAAUCAACAUUGUAAUUCCACGCCUAAAAGCGUCCAUUUCAAGCGUUAAAAGCGAAUCAAUUUUUAUCUCGAUUGUUGUCGAUCAGUUUGGUAUAAUUUAAAUAGGAUUUCUUCUGCUCAUUUUUUGUUUGAA